UACGUAGGGUGCGAGCGUUAAUCGGAAUUACUGGGCGUAAAGCGUGCGUAGGCGGUUCGUUAAGUUCGUUGUGAAAGCCCCGGGCUUAACCUGGGAACUGCGCUUGUUACUGGCAGGCUUGAGUGUGGCAGAGGGGGGUGGAAUUCCACGUGUAGCAGUGAAAUGCGUAGAGAUGUGGAGGAACACCGAUGGCGAAGGCAGCCCCCUGGGCUAACACUGACGCUCAUGCACGAAAGCGUGGGGAGCAAACAGG
rnacentral:rRNA from 1 species